UACGGGGGGGGUAAGCGUUGUUCGGAAUUACUGGGCUUAAAGCGUGUGUAGGCGGAUUGCUAAGUACCUUGUGAAAUCCCACGGCUUAACCGUGGAACUGCUUGGUAUACUGGCUGUCUUGAGCCACUUAGGGGCAACCGGAACAAACGGUGGAGCGGUGAAAUGCGUAGAUAUCGUUUGGAACGCCAAUGGUGAAAACAGGUUGCUGGGAGUGUGCUGACGCUGAGACACGAAAGCCAGGGGAGCAAACGGG
rnacentral:rRNA from 1 species